GUUUAGGACAGUUUUUAAAACUCUCAAACCACAGCUGAACCAAACCAAACCGGUUCGGUUCGAUUUUUCAAAAUGUUGACUUUUUCUUUGGUCAAAACCAAACCAAACCAAUCCAAUAUAAUCGGUUCGGCCGGAUUGACCGGAUCGGCCGGAUUGAUGCCCACCCCUACAGAUAGGGCCUUGCAGAGGCAAUAUCUAUAUACGGAAAUGUGGCACCGUUUUCAGGAUCUCAAUAUUUUCUCGAAUCCCCAUAUUCACUUUUUCCUUUUCAGAUUCCAAACAUUCACGCGACCUCUAU
rnacentral:lncRNA from 1 species